UACGUAGGUGGCAAGCGUUGUCCGGAUUUACUGGGCGUAAAGGAUGCGUAGGUGGAUAUUUAAGUGGGAGUGUCGAAAUACCCGAGCUCAACUUGGGUGCUGCAUUCCAAACUGGAUAUCUAGAGUGCAGGAGAGGUAAGUGGAAUUCCUAAGUGUAGCGGUGAAAUGCGUAGAGAUUAGGAAGAACAACCAGUGGCGAAGGCGACUUAACUGGACUUGUAACUGACACUGAGGCAUGAA
rnacentral:rRNA from 1 species